UGGCAAGGUUUUUCAGAAGUGGUUUGCCACUGCCUCCUUCCCAGGGCAGAGACAGAGUGACUGGCCCAAGGUCACCCAGCUGGCUUUGUGCCUAACUGAGGACUAGAACUCAUGGUCUCCCAUUUUCUAGCCUGAUGCCUUAACCACUACAUCAGACUGGGAAUGGUGGAAUUUUUUGAAACUUCUUCCUAAGUAGAUGUGUAUAAGGGAAGAUUUUAAGCCUGUUAAAAUCUCUAGUACUUAAAAUGCUUACUUCAAUAUGGAUUACAUCCCAGAGGAAGAGCUCUAAUGACUUGUAAAAUGUUACAUUUAAUGGCUUUAAAAUUUGCUGACUAUUUAGAAACAACUGCUGUGUUUUAAUGUAUUCACCUUGUAUAUUCAAAUAAAAAUGAUGCAUGCCACAAGCAA